CUACGGUGGGCAGCAGUGGGGAAUAUUGGACAAUGGGCGAAAGCCUGAUCCAGCCAUGCCGCGUGUGUGAAGAAGGCCUUCGGGUUGUAAAGCACUUUCAGUGGGGAAGAAAGCCUUGGGGCUAAUACCCUCGAGGAAGGACAUCACCCACAGAAGAAGCACCGGCUAACUCCGUGCCAGCAGCCGCGGUAAUACGGAGGGUGCGAGCGUUAAUCGGAAUUACUGGGCGUAAAGCGCGCGUAGGCGGUCUGAUAAGCCGGUUGUGAAAGCCCCGGGCUCAACCUGGGAACGGCAUCCGGAACUGUCAGGCUAGAGUGCAGGAGAGGAAGGUAGAAUUCCCGGUGUAGCGGUGAAAUGCGUAGAGAUCGGGAGGAAUACCAGUGGCGAAGGCGGCCUUCUGGACUGACACUGACGCUGAGGUGCGAAAGCGUGGGUAGCAAACAGGAUUAGAUACCCUAGUAGUC
rnacentral:rRNA from 1 species